rnacentral:rRNA from 1 species
UACGUAGGGUGCGAGCGUUGUCCGGAAUUAUUGGGCGUAAAGAGCUCGUAGGCGGUUUGUCGCGUCUGCUGUGAAAAACUCGGGGCUUAACCCCGGGCCUGCAGUGGGUACGGGCAGACUAGAGUGCGGUAGGGGAGACUGGAAUUCCUGGUGUAGCGGUGAAAUGCGCAGAUAUCAGGAGGAACACCGGUGGCGAAGGCGGGUCUCUGGGCCGUAACUGACGCUGAGGAGCGAAAGCGUGGGGAGCGAACAGG